GGUUAAGCGACUAAGCGUACACGGUGGAUGCCCUGGCAGUCAGAGGCGAUGAAGGACGUGCUAAUCUGCGAUAAGCGCCGGUAAGGUGAUAUGAACCGUUAUAACCGACGAUUUCCGAAUGGGGAAACCCAGUGUGACUCGUCACACUAUCAUUAACUGAAUCCAUAGGUUAAUGAGGCGAACCGGGGGAACUGAAACAUCUAAGUACCCCGAGGAAAAGAAAUCAACCGAGAUUCCCCCAGUAGCGGCGAGCGAACGGGGAGGAGCCCAGAGCCUGAAUCAGCAUGUGUGUUAGUGGAAGCGUCUGGAAAGGCGCGCGAUACAGGGUGACAGCCCCGUACACAAAAGCGCAUGUGCUGUGAGCUCGAUGAGUAGGGCGGGACACGUGGUAUCCUGUCUGAAUAUGGGGGGACCAUCCUCCAAGGCUAAAUACUCCUGACUGACCGAUAGUGAACCAGUACCGUGAGGGAAAGGCGAAAAGAACCCCGGCGAGGGGAGUGAAAAAGAACCUGAAACCGUGUACGUACAAGCAGUGGGAGCACCUUCGGGUGUGACUGCGUACCUUUUGUAUAAUGGGUCAGCGACUUAUAUUCUGUAGCAAGGUUAACCGAAUAGGGGAGCCGUAGGGAAACCGAGUCUUAACCGGGCGUUAAGUUGCAGGGUAUAGACCCGAAACCCGGUGAUCUAGCCAUGGGCAGGUUGAAGGUUGGGUAACACUAACUGGAGGACCGAACCGACUAAUGUUGAAAAAUUAGCGGAUGACCUGUGGCUGGGGGUGAAAGGCCAAUCAAACCGGGAGAUAGCUGGUUCUCCCCGAAAGCUAUUUAGGUAGCGCCUCGUGAAUUCAUCUCCGGGGGUAGAGCACUGUUUCGGCUAGGGGGCCAUCCCGGCUUACCAACCCGAUGCAAACUGCGAAUACCGGAGAAUGUUAUCACGGGAGACACACGGCGGGUGCUAACGUCCGUCGUGAAGAGGGAAACAACCCAGACCGCCAGCUAAGGUCCCAAAGUCAUGGUUAAGUGGGAAACGAUGUGGGAAGGCUCAGACAGCCAGGAUGUUGGCUUAGAAGCAGCCAUCAUUUAAAGAAAGCGUAAUAGCUCACUGGUCGAGUCGGCCUGCGCGGAAGAUGUAACGGGGCUAAACCAUGCACCGAAGCUGCGGCAGCGACACUGUGUGUUGUUGGGUAGGGGAGCGUUCUGUAAGCCUGUGAAGGUGUGCUGUGAGG
rnacentral:rRNA from 1 species